rnacentral:lncRNA from 1 species
CCCCAGUGAAACGCUGUCCUGUUGCUGCUGGAAAUGUAUGGGGUGAUUAAGGCUGACCAGGCUCUCCUUGCUGACACUACUUCUACCUGAAAACUGCCCGCAGCAGAGCCCAACCAUGGGCAAGUGGGAUGAGAAGGAGCAGAGAGCAAUAGAGGAUGGAAGGCAAUGAAGUGGCCAUCCUCUUGCACUUAUGGCAUGGGUGGAAUCAAAGCGUUACCCCGUGCAUCCCAGCACGAAGCUGUCCCAUGGGCUGUAUCCCCACCCUGCUGAGUGCCAGAAGCCCAGGGUUAUCGCUUUGCAAGGUCCUUGCAAGUCACCCUGAGUGCAGAGCUCGGAGCAGAGGACCCGAGUGUACAGGGAGGGUUUGGGAGAACAAAGGGUUUUCGACAAAACCUCAUCCGGCUAAUCCUGCCGCGAUGCCGCGUGCAGAGCGAGGUGGUGAGCCCGCGAGCACGCCCUAUUAAAUCGUGUCUGCUCCGUCAUGAAUUAUGGAUCUUUGCAUUUCCAUUUUUCUGCCGCUUGUUUGAUGACAUUCUCCUCCGUUGAUAAGGACUGAGCCACCUGCUUCAAGGCACGGCACGGCACUGCGCUCGGCGAGGCAGAGGGAAAGGCUCAGCAUCCUCCUCUGCUGCCUGUGGAGGCUGGGGUGAGGGCACUCCAAGACUGGAACCCAUAUACAAGGAGUUU